UUAAAUUUCGAUGGAAAUGUUCCUAGUAAAAGCGCAAAUGAAACGUAACGUUAACGCAACGUUCGACUCUUAACGGAUCAAAUUAUCGCACACGCGGCACAUUUCUCACGCCCUUUCAUCGAGUCUUCAGAUCGAAUUAACAUCGUUGCUACAAAUUUCCUAUAAAACGAUGGCACGUGGCCGAGACUCGGACUACUAUUCCAGUUGCAUGGAUAGAAACAAAAACAGGCAUCUCAAUAGCCGUAUGAUUAUUGUCCGCCGUAGAAACUAGCACACGCUCGCUUGGGAGAUCGCGGACUGAAGCAGGUUAUGUUUUCCUUUGCGAUCUCGCGUAAAAGCGAAACACAGACAGAACGCAUACGAUGCGUUCAACGUGGAGGUGAACGCGGACGUGGACACACACCGGUGGGUUUCCUGCACGUGUCCCACGGGAGGGACACGCAUCGCCGGUGAAUCCCAGCGGCACGGCAUUCACGAUGUCUCUCUCCUUCGCCCUUUACCUGCUUCUCUCGCUCGUUCCCGAGUACACGGUUCGACGAGCCUCGACACACAAAUAGUCGAGCGGGCUCGCCGGUUCAACGUGUAACGAAUGGACGUGUGUGCGUGUAUAUAGCUCGGCUACAUAAAGCCCCUCCUGGGUUUUAUGUGGCCAUAUAGAUACAAGCCCGGUUCCGAGUAGCGUGUCUGGCAUCUUCGUAUAUAGCGUGGUGGCGUGGGCUCGCGGCUGGCAUGCAUUAUUCACGAAGUAGUCACAAACUGAACCCGCUCUCCCGGCUCCAACCCGAUCUGCCCGUGACUCCGCAUACACGCGCAUCCACUUCGCUCCGACACCGUGCACGGCUACGCGAAUUUGCUACAAUGCAGUCUAGAAGAUUAAGCCUUUGACUGGCGCGCGUUCCGCACAGUCUUUUCUUUCUAUAUAGACCUUGCUCUGAUGGAUUUAGGAUUUUUCUUCGAAGUUGAACGAAUAUCAUCGAUGGAGAGGUAGAGGUUUAACUCGCGUAGAAGGUGAGAAAACGAGGACGACUGUUGGAUUAGCUGGUAAAUCGAUUUUCCAGAAGCUCGGUCAGAGAGGAAGAAGAAAGUCUGCAGUUCGAUUACGCAAGGAGAAAGUCGCGCCAGCGAAACGAACGAAACGCCAGUCUUUUUGCGAGUCUGCUGUCCCUUGCCAUCUUCUCGCCUCCGUCGACCCAUAAUCGAGACGAACAGAGAGAAAGAGAUGCCAACCAGCAGAAACAAAAGAGAGGAAGAUAGAAAGAGAGAGAGAGAGAGAAAAAGGACAGACAAGAAGGAGAACCGGUUCUGCGAAGUCCAUGGCGUGUCUAAUCACGGCGCUACACGAGCGUUACGCUUUGGCUGCGCAUGAAAAUACCUAUAUACACCUAUGUACCUAUGUACUUGCGUGCCUGUAUGCCAACUAUUUAUACAAGGUGUUACAAAAGAAGAGUUUCAGAUUUUCUGAGCUUACGAAUAAUACUUAACGAGAGAUGCGAACGAUAUCUAAGAAACGUAGA